UACCUACGGGAGGCAGCAGCCGCGGUAAUACGUAGGGGGCAAGCGUUAUCCGGAUUUACUGGGUGUAAAGGGAGCGUAGACGGCAGCGCAAGUCUGGAGUGAAAUGCCGGGGCUCAACCCCGGAACUGCUUUGGAAACUGUGCAGCUAGAGUGCGGGAGAGGUAAGCGGAAUUCCUAGUGUAGCGGUGAAAUGCGUAGAUAUUAGGAGGAACACCAGUGGCGAAGGCGGCUUACUGGACCGUAACUGACGUUGAGGCUCGAAAGCGUGGGGAGCAAACAGGAUUAGAUACCCGGGGAGUCCCACA
rnacentral:rRNA from 1 species